rnacentral:lncRNA from 1 species
ACUGUUCUAUUUCUUGAAUAUCGUCACUGGAGGUUGGAACGUAGGCUUCUGCUAUCUUCAUUCUAUACCUCCUAUUCAGCUUGAUUACGACGACUGUUACCCUCUCAUUAAUGCUGUAGAAUUCAUGUGUUGCCCGCUUUGUCCUUAUAGAUUAGAAAUCCUGCCCUGUAUUGUCUCUUAUCUGGAAGACCUCUGCAGCAAAGCAGAGGACAGGGC